UACGUAGGGGGCAAGCGUUAUCCGGAUUUACUGGGUGUAAAGGGAGCGUAGACGGCAGCGCAAGUCUGGAGUGAAAUGCCGGGGCCCAACCCCGGAACUGCUUUGGAAACUGUGCGGCUCGAGUGCGGGAGAGGUAGGCGGAAUUCCUAGUGUAGCGGUGAAAUGCGUAGAUAUUAGGAGGAACACCAGUGGCGAAGGCGGCUUACUGGACCGUAACUGACGUUGAGGCUCGAAAGCGUGGGGAGCAAAUAGG
rnacentral:rRNA from 1 species